GGGGCUUUGGCCUAGUGGUAGAGUAUUUUCUUUGCAUGUAGAAGUUCCCAGUUCCCAGGUGCAAUCCCUGGAAUCUCCA
rnacentral:tRNA from 1 species